GGACGCGUAGCUAAGCGGGAGAGCAUCCCCUUCACACGGGGAGGGUCGCAGGUUCAAUCCCUGCCGCGUCCACCA
rnacentral:tRNA from 1 species